GGAAAUGGAGUGGAAACGUGUGUUGAGAUCAACAGGAUUGACCCAGGAUCAAAAGUCCACUGAAGACUGUGUAGCAAGACAAGACUUCAGGACACUUACCCAGGAUGACAUUUCCGCUCACUGUCCUUGAAUAGGGCUGCUUCCUGCUGAAGAGACUGGCAUCUGCUGCCCACAAUAGGGUACAGGUUGGCUUGAGAUGACAU